rnacentral:rRNA from 1 species
UACGUAGGCAGCAAGCGUUGUUCGGAGUUACUGGCGUAAAGGGUGCGUAGGCGGCGCGGUAAGUCGGGUGUGAAAUCUCGGAGCUUAACUCCGAAACUGCAUUCGAUACUGCCGUGCUUGAGGACUGGAGAGGAGACUGGAAUUUACGGUGUAGCGGUGAAAUGCGUAGAUAUCGUAAGGAAGACCAGUGGCGAAGGCGGGUCUCUGGACAGUUCCUGACGCUGAGGCACGAAGGUCAGGGAGCAAACGGG